rnacentral:rRNA from 1 species
UACGUAGGGUGCAAGCGUUGUCCGGAAUUAUUGGGCGUAAAGAGCUCGUAGGCGGUCUGUCGCGUCUGCUGUGAAAACUCAGGGCUUAACCCUGAGCUUGCAGUGGGUACGGGCAGACUAGAGUUCGGCAGGGGAGACUGGAAUUCCUGGUGUAGCGGUGAAAUGCGCAGAUAUCAGGAGGAACACCGGUGGCGAAGGCGGGUCUCUGGGCCGAUACUGACGCUGGAGGAGCGAAAGCGUGGGGAGCGAACAGG